GCAGCAAAUCGAUUCAGUGGUUGUCCUUCCACAUAGAAAUAACUCCCAGAAUGGUCAAGGGAAAUUGGAUCACAUUUUCCCUUCUUUUUCUCUUAGUGAGCAGCCUAUUGCACUGGUGGAGGUGAGGUUAGUCCAAAUAUUAGGUGAAUAAGGUGCUUCAGUUGGGCUGGUUUGCUUCAAAUUUUUGUUUUGGGGUCAGAUGUUAAUUCUUUAGGUAUCAUCUUUGUAACAUUUUCAAGUGUGUAGCUAUUUAUAAUAAACAAAUAAGUUUUCAUCUAUCAAACAAAAUAAUGCUUGAAUCUGA